GACUCAGUUGGCAGAGGGCUUGCCUGGCAGGCACGGAGCCUGAGUUCUAUUCUCCAGCACCGCAGAGAACCAGGCGUGGUGGUAAUAGCUGAUAAUCUCAACACACUAGGAGGAUGGCAGAGGUUAGAGGGAGUGCAUCUAAUUUAAAUAUUUCCUUCAAAGGCAUUUCCUACAUCACCUCAGAGUUCCUAAACAUCAUUAUCACUCAGAUCUUGGUGACCUCCAGAGCGCUUAGAAUUCUCAGGUUUGGAGAGUGGUUGGUCUGAGAAGCUGCACUCUUAAGUGUCUUAAGACGCUUAUCAGCCCCAAGGUUGGUCCCACCUGGGACAGAAGGUCCCUUCCAGUUCACAGGGUCCUGCCUCUCCAGCAGCGGCUCACUGGAGAGCACAUAACCCCAGCUCUCUUGCCUGGCCUGGUGGUUAAUGUCCCUGUAAUCCUGGCAUUCUGGAGUCUAAGGCAGGGGAAUUGCUACCAGUUCCAGGCCAGCAAGACUCGACUCAAUUACUCAAUCAAUAGAGAAUAAUAGCAUUGUUAAGAUUAAUACAGUAAUGGUUCUGUGCAGUUUGUAAAUCCCCUUCAUAUUAAUGUACGCAGCCAGUAAAUGGGUGUCAUGUGCCCUUAACAUGGCUGCCCCUGUGUUUGAUGUAACAGUCCCAUAGUUUGUCCUUUUGAAAAGUCCUGUUUAGGUGAGCCAAAUGCUGAAGGGCAAGCAGGAGUUUGGUGCUAAACCAUGAGUAGCUGUCUGCAGUUAGUGAGCUAUGGGAGAAACUGGCUUCUCACAGUAUGGUCUGGGAUUUGAACCACAUCAGGCACAAGACAGACAUCAUUUUCCAGCUCACAUUAUUUACAUGAGCCAAAGCUAAUCUGGAGCUCACUAUUUAGCCCAGGUUAACCUCACACUCACAUCCCUCCCACCAACACCCCCACAGAUAGUGAGUGCUACCGUACGUAGCCCAAGGCUUCACACAACUUUCAAUUGUGUGUGUGUGUGUGUGUGCCUUUAACAACCCAAACCAUCUUGCUAGCCCUCACAUAACUUUCAGAUUACACUAAAAGGACAGCAGCUCUCCUCCAAAGCAACCAGCGUGAAUUAAUCCCUUUAGGUGGUUAAGUUUCCCAUUUCAAAUGUAGGUAUUUGAGGGUGUUGAUGGGGUGAGGGCUGAGACUCAUUCCCAUGUAAGUAUAAGUGAAUUUACCUAGAUACUUUCAGUUUAGCAGUUGUCAAGACAACCUAGGGGUGAGAUCUCACAUGUCUGGGCUGGAGGAGACACUGAAAGUUGCCUGCAAGAACACCAGGAGACCCAUCUGACGGCAGUGCCUGCUAAACAUCAUAGAAGUCAUUUUGCAACUCACUACCUAACCCUGAUGGCAUUUUAAACAUUAUCUUUGCUCAGGUCUGUCUUGGCCUGUCCUCCUCCGAGGAAAUGGUAUGUUCUAGAGGUAUAAUUUGUGCAAGCACAGGGGAAAACUGUCCAGCUGUCUCCCAUGAGUGUAUGCUUGCCUCCUGUCCUGGAAAAACACUGUGGCGUCUAUACAGAAGAAACAAAAACGGACAUCCACAGAAAGAUUUGUUCAGAACUACUCAUACUUCCCUCAUUUGUGCCAAUCAGGGGCAGCUUGGGCAUCAUCAGUGGAUGAACAGCGUGACACAUGGUGACAUGUUCUAGUGGAAUAGAAUACCAGCUGGCAAGGAGAAGAUCAAGGAAAGCCUCAACACUAUCAGCCACACAGAGUUGCCCAAAGGUUCAGGAACACAAGUCUGAAGUAUGUCCCCUCUCCAGAGAACCAUAAUGAUCAGGAAACUACAGCCGCAGUCCACCAUCUGCUGAGUCCUUGCUCCAGGAUGUCUUGGUUUCCACGGAAGCCUUUUCUGUACUGUUUCCUCCUUCCUGUGUGCUUUGUUUUAAGAGACAAGUUCUUGCCAUGUAACCCAGGAGAGCCACACACUUGCUGUUCCCAGAGCCUCAGCCUCCUGAGUGCUAGCAUUCGAAGUGUACGUCACCGUCUUACGUCACCAUCAGCUUCCCCGAGCCCCGUUUUCUUUUGUUCUGACACAGUACCCCUUCCUGAUCUAUUUCUUUGAGCCUUGCUGUUGUUCUUUAUUAAAGAUGAAGCUGGCUUCUCUGAAA